GGGGGUCUUGCUCUUUUGCAGUGGUGUCAUCUUGGAUCACUGCAACCUCCACCUCUCGGGUUCAAGUGAUUCUCCUGCCUCAGCCUCCUGAGUAGCUUGGACUACAAGGCACGUGCCACCACAUCCAGCUAAUUUUUGUAUUUUUAGUAGCGAUGCGGUUUCACCAUUUUGGCAGAGAUCGUCUUGAUCUCUUGACCUCAUGAUCCACCUGCCUUAGCCUCUCAAAAUGCUGUGAUUACAGGUGUGAGCCACCACACUUGCCCUGAGCUCAUUUUUUUAGCUGUAAAAUAAGAAUAACAAUUGUACUAAUCUAAAAAGACAGCUUAUUGUAUUGUCUUUUAUUUUCUAUGAAACUGUUUUUAACAGUAAUUAUUUUCUUUGCCAUGCCACAUUUGUUUUUGUUUUGUCUUUGUUUUUCUUUUAGAUGGAGUCUGUUUUGUUUUGUUUUGUUUUGUUUUUUGUUUUCUUGAGAUGGAGUCUCGCUGUUGUAGCCCAGGCUGGAGUGCAGUGGCAUGAUCUUGGCUCAUCCUGUAUCAUACCCACAGAGACCCUUUUUUUCUCCAGGGCCUGGGAAGCAGCCAGGUUCCACGAGUUAAAUGCAGAUCUGAACCAUACGGAGCUGUGAUUAAAGUACACACCCUCCUCUUCUGAAAAGUAGCUAAGGAUUCCAACUUGGUGUAGUGGAGAGUGUGGCAGAGCCAGACCAGACAAGGACUGAUCACAUGGAAAAGCAUGUUGUCAAAGGCCUUGGCCAGAAUUCUAAAGUCAGUCCCACUGACUCAAGGUGGAAGCAGGGCAGAUACCUUCCCAGGCUCUGAAGGAGAAUGAGUUUCUGGCCCUGGAGGCUUCCUGGAAUCCUCAGCUUGUGCUGCCCUUCUUGAAUGACUCGAGGUUCCUGCUUCCAUCACUACACUUCCCAUCGCUCUCCAUCACCUGCUCUGCUCUGGCUGGCUGCAGUCUUCGUUCCCUGCAACAUUUGUCUCCUGGGUUCAAGUGAUUCUUCUACCUCAACCUCCUGAGUACCCGGGACUACAGAGAAAUGCAAUGAUCGUAUCACUGAUCUAUGUAAACACAUUGAAGAACUAUCUGAAAGAAAAUAUGAGUCUUGUUCUUUCACUCAGGCUGGAGUGCAGUGGUGUGACCUCAGCUCACAGAAACCUCCACUUCUCACAUUGAAUUUAUCCUCUUGCCUCAGCCUCCCUAGUAGCUAGGACUACAGAGAUGCGGUUUUGCCAUGUUGGCCAGCCUGGUCUCCAAUUCCUGACCUCAGGUGAUUCACCUGCCUUGGCCUCCCAAGUGCUAGGAUUACAGUGACUUGAACUAUGAAUUCAAUAACUGAAGAUGUACAGCUUGAUAAACCAGCUUCAGGAGCAAAGGAAGAAUGGUGUACCAGAAUCACCAAAUUAAGCAAGACAGUAGAUCAGCUUUUCUGCAAAAAAAAUUGGAUCUUUGAAGAUCUUUAUUAAGACCAAAACUCUGAAGCACGUUCACAUGAUUUGUAUAUGGAAAGACUACCGGAAUGCAUUUCUUUCGGAAGUCCCUCAUGAUAUGGAGUUCCAAGGCUGGGAAACAUCAGUCAAGUGGGCAACUGAAUUAAAUUUUUAUUAAAAGGGAUGGGAUCAUGCUGUGUCGCCCAGGAUGGUCUUAACUCCUUACCUUAAGUGGUCCUCCUGCCUCAGCCUCCCAAAGUUCUGGGAUUAUAUGCAGGUAUAAGCCACCUGUACCCAGUCCCCUAUUUAUUUUAAAUAACAGCUUUAUUGAAAUAUAGUUAACAUCCCUUACAACUGAUUCAUAAAAGUAUGCAAAAGUAUUCAUGGAGCUGUGCAUCUGUCACGACAAUCAAUUUUAGAAGCUUUCA